UAGAUGCAGACUAGGCUAAGGUUGAAGAAGGCGUGCACAGCCUCCAGAAAGGGGAAGAUUUGCAUGGAGACCUCCCACCCUGAUAAUCAGGGUGACACAUAAGAAGGGUUGGUGGGCUCAGGCCUGACUGUGGGGCUCAGGAAGCAGAGUCUGGGGGAGUCCCCACCAUGGCCUGGGCUCCACUCAUCCUCACUCUCCUUGCCUACUGCACGGGGUCUUGGUCUGAGGUUGUGCUGACUCAGCCCCACCCUGUGUCAGAGUCCCUGGGGCAGAAGGCCAUCAUCUCCUGCACCCGCAGCAGUGGCUACAUUGGAGACAAAUAUGUACAGUGGUACCAGCAGCGCCCAGGCUGUUCCCCCACCACCUUGAUCUAUAGAGAUGACCAAAGACCCUCUGGGGUUCCCAACCGGUUCUCUGGCUCCAUCGACAGCUCUUCCAGUGCUGCCUACCUGACCGUCUCUGGGCUGCAGCCUGAGCACAAGGCCGACUACUACUGUCAGUCUAGUUAUGACAGCGGCUAUAAGCACACAGUCCUCCAGAUGCAGGGGGAAAGACCUAGGCGCAGUCUGGGCUGA